AAAUUAUUUUUUUCCAUUUUAUAAUUACGUAUUUUCUGAACUCACAACAUAUCUGUUUUGUAAAAAAACAUUAAUAUUUCUGGUUCAAAAGAAGUAAAACAGCACGGCGCCAUAAGCUCUGUGCAUCGUUGCGCCUUUCUUUUAUUUCCGAUGUGAUACUGGGCGAGCAAAGGUACAAUUCUAAUGUUUCAGUUACAGUAUGGAGACAAGAAAAAAGUAGAGGCAAAGAAACAAACUUUUGACUAACAAAAGAGUGUCAGUGAAAAGGCUGGCGAGUAUAACAAUGUCAAUGAGCCACAAUCAACUCCUUAACUGAAAGAAAAUAUGACGUGAGUGACGAGCCUGUACGGGGUAUAAUAACAACCAUAGGAAAACGAGGACCACGCAGUAAAAACAUUGGACCAGGGAAGAAGAAUAGAAGGGGUUCUUUUACAGUAAUCAGCUCAGAUGACACCAGUUCUUGAGUGAAGAAUCCAGUGUUUCAAGUGAAGAAGAUGAAAGUGAUGGAUCUAGUGAUGUAAAACACAGCAAGAAGUCAAGUAAACGCAAAAAAGUAAAGAAACAAGCAAAAUCUAAAAAGGAAGUAAUGAGGAAAAGGGGGUUGCCGAGGGUCCGCUGCCGUCGCCACCUCCUCCACUAGACGGAGCCGGGCUGCCGUCGUUGCCUCCGCCACUAGAGGGAGCCGGGCCACCGUCGCUGUACUACCUUGGAGAUCC